UACGUAGGGGGCAAGCGUUGUCCGGAUUUAUUGGGCGUAAAGAGCGUGUAGGCGGCCUGACAGGUCUGCUGUGAAAACUCGAGGCUCAACCUCGAGAUGUCGGCGGAAACCGUCUGGCUAGAGUCCGGAAGAGGAGAGUGGAAUUCCUGGUGUAGCGGUGAAAUGCGCAGAUAUCAGGAAGAACACCUAUGGCGAAGGCAGCUCUCUGGGACGGUACUGACGCUGAGACGCGAAGGCGUGGGGAGCGAACAGG
rnacentral:rRNA from 1 species